rnacentral:rRNA from 1 species
AGACCUCAAAUCAGGUGGGAUUACCCGCUGAACUUAAGCAUAUCAAUAAGCGGAGGAAAAGAAACUAACCAGGAUUCCCCCAGUAACGGCGAGUGAAGAGGGAAGAGCCCAAAUUUGUAAUCAGUCUUCCUUUGGGAGUCUGA